rnacentral:piRNA from 1 species
UUGUAGAAAUAUAUUAAUUGG